ensembl:lncRNA
UAUAUUUUCUUCUGGCCAUUGUUGAGGCACUAAUAUUGUGUUAUGGAUGCUUGUAUGUUGUAUUUAUGUAAUUUAUCUUUUCUCAAACAGGCUCAGAAAUCGAGGCCAUCUUUACACUACACCAAAUGCUUUGUAAAAAUAAUCGGUUACUUGCAGUAUAAUGACCGGAAAGAACUCUUGGAUAUCAGAAUGGCGGUAACUCACCAGCAUUACGACCAGGAAUACGACUUUCCCGAAUUGGAUCCUUUUUUUGCACACCCCAGGGCAAUUGAACUUAUCCCAGAGGCUGCUCCAAGACGCUGCUGGUGGUGAAGAGGUAAUCGGAAUAGACUUCUCGUCUGACUCAGGAGGGAGGCACACCAUCCACCGCUUCCGAGUAUAUUACUCGCUAAUGUUCAGUCUCUGGACAAUAAAGUAGACGAGCCCAGGACGAGGAUCUCCUUCCAGAGAGACAUCGGGGACUGUGACAUACUUUGUUUCACGAUAUCAUGGCUCUCUCCGGAUAUACUGUCUCCGUCCCUACAGCCAGCUGGGUUCUCAGUACACCGCGCAGACAGGAAUAAAGAACUCUCCUGGAAGAUUGGCAGUGGUGUGUUUCAUGAUUAACCACUCAUGGUGUGAUUUGUGAUAACGUACAGAAACUCAAGUCCUUUUGUUUACCCAACCUAGAAUACCUUACAAUCAAAUGCUGACGGUAUUACCUCUCAAGAGAAUUCUCUUCGGUGAUAGUCACAGCUGUGUAUAUUCCCCCUCAAGCCGAUACCACAACGGCCCUCAAGGAACUACAAUGGACUUCAUGCAAACUGGAAACCACAUAUCCUGAGGCCGCAUUUAUUUUAGCUGUGGAUUUUAACAAACCAAAUGAGGAAAACGCUACCUAAGUUCAAUCAAUACAUUGACUGCAGUACUUGUGCUGGGAAAAUUCUUGACCACUGCUAUUCUCUCUUCCGGGAUGCCUACAAGGCCCUCCCUUCGGCAAAUCAGUUCACGACUACUUUUUGCUCCUCCCUUCCUAUAGGCAGAAACUCAAACAGGAAGUACAUGUUAAGGACUAUUCAACUCUGGUCAGACCAAUCGGAAUCCAUGCUUCAAGAUUGUUUUGAUCACGCGGACUGGGAUAUGUUAUGGCUAGCCUCGGAUAAUAUUGUUGACGUAUACACGGACACGGUGACAGAGUUCAUUAGGAAGUGUAUAGAUGUUUUUCCCACUGUGAUGACUAAAACCUACCCAAACCAGAAACCGUGGAUAGAUGGCAGCAUUCAGACUAAGCUGAAAGCGCAAACCACCUCAUUUAACCAUGGCAAGGUGACUGGGAAUAUGGACGAAUACUAACAGUGUAGUUAGUAAGGCAAUCAAACAGGAAAAACGUCAGUACAGAGACAAAGUGGAGUCGCAGUUCAUCGGCUGACACGAGACUUAUGUGGCAGGGUCUACAGACAAUCACAGAUUACAAAGGGGAAAACCAGCCACGUCACAGACACCGACGUCUUGCUCCCAGACAAGCUGAACACCUUCUUCGCCCGCUUUGAGGAUAACACAGUGCCAUCGACGCAGCCUGCUCCCAGGGACUGUGGGCUCUCAUUCUCCGUGGCCGACAUGAGUAAGACAUUAAGCCUGUUAACAUUCGCAAGGCUGCCAGACCAGACGGUAUCCCUAGCCGCGUGCUCAGAGCAUGCGCAGACCAGCUGGCUGGAGUGUUUACGGACAUAUUUAAUCUCUCCCUAUCCCAGUCUGCUAUCCCCACUUGCUUCAAGAUGUCUACCAUUGUUCCUGUACCCAAGAAAGCAAAGGUAACUGAACUGACUAUCGCCCCAUAGCACCCACUUCUGUCAUCAUGAAGUGCUUUGAGAGGCUAGUUAAGGAUCAUAUGACCUCUACCUUACCUGACACCCUAGACCCACUUCAAUUUGCUUACCGCCCCAAUAGAUCUACAGACGAUGCAAUCGCCAUUGAACUGUACACUGCCUUAUCCCACCUGGACAAGAGGAAUACCUAUGUAAGAAUGCUCUUCAUUGACUAGCUCAGCCUUCAACACUCUAGUACCCUCCAAGCUUAUCAAGCUCGGAGCCCUGGGUCUGAACCCUGCCCUGUGCAACUGAGACCUGGACUUCCUGAAGGUCCGCCCCCAGGUGGUGAAGGUAGGAAACAACACCUCCACUUCAUUGAUCCUCAACACAGGGGCCCCACAAGGGUGUGUAUUCAGCCCCCUCCUAUACCCCCUGUUCACCCAUGACUGCGUGGCCACACACCAUCCUCCAACUCGAUCAUCAAGUUUGCAGACAACACAACCAUAGUUUGCCUGAUUACCAACAAUGACGAGACAGCCUACCGGGAGGAGAUGAGGGCCCUGGCGGAGUGGUGCCAGGAAAAUAACCUCUCCCUCAACGUCAACAAACGAAGGAGCUGAUUGUGGACUUCAGGAUAAAGCAGAGGGAGCACGCCCCUAUCCACAUUGACGGUACCGCAGUGAAGGUGGAAAGCUUAAAGUUCCUCGGCAUACACAUCACUGAUGAUCGAAAUGGUCCACUCACACAGACAGUGUGGUGAAGAAGGCACAACAGCACCUCUUCAACCUCAGGAGGCUGAAAAAAUGUGGCUUGGCCCCUAAGACCCUCAAACUUUUACAGAUGCAUAAUUGAGAGCAUUCUGUCGGGCUGUAUCACCACCUGGUACGGCAACUGCACCAAUCGCAAUCUCAGGGCUCUCCAGAGGGUGGUGUGGUCUGCCCAGCGCAUCACCAGGGGCACACUCGCUGCCUUCCAGGACAGCUACUACACCCAAUGUCACAGGAAGGCCAAAAAUAUCAUCAAGGACAUCAACCAUCCGAUCCACGGCCUGUUCACCCCGCUAUCAUGAAGGCGAGGUCAGGACAGGGCAUCAAAGCUGUGGCCGAGAGACAGAAGCUGUUUUUCAAUCUCAAGGCCAUCAGACUGUUAAAUAGACAUCACUAGCCGGCUAACACCCGGUUACUCAACCCUGCACCUUAGAGGCUGCUGCCCUAAAAUAACACAUCCUAGAUCUGAAUGAAUGAAAUAUUCUUAAAUACUUUUUUCUUUACAUAGUUGAAUGUGUUGACAACAAAAUCACACA